rnacentral:lncRNA from 1 species
CCGGAGUUAGGGGAGGCAGGGUUUGGCCUGGCAAGUGGGGCCCUGUGCUGCUGGGCCGGCCCAUCCGUGGCCAGAGAGAUUGGGAGGUGGGCUGGACACCCGGCCCAGCUGGCUUGAGGGUGGAUAUAUUAUUUUUAUUUUUUUUAUAUGAAUGUAUAGAUUAUGCAAUUAUUUAUAUAUAUAAUGCAAUUAUUUAUAUAUAUUUACUUUUAGUUUAAGUGUCU